AGAGCGAACGCUGGCGGCAGGCCUAACACAUGCAAGUCGAGCGCCCCGCAAGGGGAGCGGCAGACGGGAGAGUAACACGUGGGAACGUACCCUUCAGUUCGGAACAACCCAGGGAAACUUGGGCUAAUACCGAAUACGUCCGUAAGGAGAAAGAUUUAUCGCUGAAGGAUCGGCCCGCGUCUGAUUAGCUUGUUGGUGAGGUAAUGGCUCACCAAGGCUACGAUCAGUAGCUGGUCUGAGAGGAUGAUCAGCCUCACUGGGACUGAGACACGGCCCAGACUCCUGCGGGAGGCAGCAGUGGGGAAUAUUGGACAAUGGGCGCAAGCCUGAUCCAGCCAUGCCGCGUGGGUGAUGAAGGCCCUAGGGUUGUAAAGCCCUUUCGGCGGGGAAGAUAAUGACGGUACCCGCAGAAGAAGCCCCGGCUAACUUCGUGCCAGCAGCCGC
rnacentral:rRNA from 1 species